AUUGAACGCUGGCGGCAGGCCUAACACAUGCAAGUCGAGCGGAGCGGCGGACGGGCGAGUAAUGCCUAGGAAUCUGCCUGGUAGUGGGGGAUAACGUCCGGAAACGGGCGCUAAUCCCGCAUACUUUCAGAUGAGCCUAGGUCGGAUUAGCUCGCUGGUGGGGUAAAGGCCUACCAAGGCGACGAUCCGUAACUGGUCUGAGAGGAUGAUCAGUCACACUGGAACUGAGACACGGUCCAGACUCCUACGGGAGGCAGCAGUAGGGAAUAUUGGACAAGGGGCGAAAGCCUGAUGCAGCCAUGCCGCGUGAGUGAAGAAGGUCGUCGGAUUGUAAAGCUCUUUAAGUUGGGAGGCGUUACCAACAGAGAAAGCACCGGCUAACUACGUGCCAGCAGCCGCGGUAAUAC
rnacentral:rRNA from 1 species